ACCGACGCUCUCUGGUUCGAAUUAACGGAUCUCAGGCAACAACAAAUGUUUCUCCUGUGAGGCUUUGCGUCUGGAAAAUGCCGUCGUUUACCGUUCCUUCCAACCACAAAUUGUUGCUUUGGCCUUUAAUUUUCAGUGGUUGCAGCUUUAGAGCUGCACAAAAAGCGACGCCCUGGAACAAAAUCGCGAUGCACUCAAGUGCAUUCCGAAACCCCCACACCCACUCACCAUCAGAAUGAAGAUCCAAGUACCGCCGAGCAGCGGGGGGCGUGUCGAGGCGACACACCAACACUCACACACAGCACAACACUCAGGCACGCACACUAAUUCGACUUGGACACACCGACGAGCUUUUUCCUGGGCUGCCAAGCACUGAGGCAACAAUAAACAAUAACUUAAUUAUGUUUUCAGCACUUCGAGGCACUUUUGUGCAGCGGAAUUUACUCGGUUGCUCGCGUAAGGGUGAGGUAAAUAAAUAAUAAUUUUGCAGUUCUUCAGCAGCGUCGUCGCGCGCCAGUGUGACCGCCAGAAAUAAUCGAUAUAAUACAUGGAAUAGUGGAAUUAAAAAUAGCUGGAUUCCACUGGGUUGUGUUUUUACAUCUUACUAAAUGUACUUUUUUAAAAUUUUAAAAUUAAUGUGAUUUUGCCAUUCAUUUUUACAUUGUUAUGUGCAAUCAAAUGUGUAAAAAUAUUGCAAUUAAUAAGCCAAAGGGUGAAAUACUUUAACAAUGAAAAUGUAUACCAUCUAAUAAUAUGAUAAUAUUAUGUAUGUAUCUUUCGAAAACGUACGUAAACCCAUAAACAGAUAUAUUUUAAUUUUCAACCUUAAAUAUUCAUUAAAUCCAUAUUUUUAUUUUGUAAAAUA